CCUACGGGAGGCAGCAGUGGGGAAUUUUGCGCAAUGGGCGAAAGCCUGACGCAGCGACGCCGCGUGGAGGAUGAAGGCCUUCGGGUUGUAAACUCCUGUUAGAGGGGAAGAAGCCCCGCAAGGGGUUGACGGUACCCUCAGAGGAAGCCCCGGCUAACUACGUGCCAGCAGCCGCGGUAAUACGUAGGGUGCAAGCGUUGUCCGGAUUCACUGGGUGUAAAGGGUGCGCAGGCGGGCUCUUAAGUCAAAGGUGAAAUCUCUCGGCUUAACCGAGAAAUUGCCUUGGAUACUGAGAGCCUUGAGUACGGGAGAGGGAGAUGAAAUUCCAGGUGUAGCGGUAAAAUGCGUGGAUAUCGGGAGGAACACCAGUGGCGAAGGCGG
rnacentral:rRNA from 1 species